UGAGACACGGACCAAACUCCUACGGGAGGCAGCAGUGAGGAAUAUUGGUCAAUGGGCGUAAGCCUGAACCAGCCAAGUCGCGUGAGGGAUGAAGGUUCUAUGGAUCGUAAACCUCUUUUAUAAGGGAAUAAAGUGUGGGACGUGUCCUGUUUUGUAUGUACCUUAUGAAUAAGGAUCGGCUAACUCCGUGCCAGCAGCCGCGGUAAUACGGAGGAUCCGAGCGUUAUCCGGAUUUAUCGGGUUUAAAGGGUGCGUAGGCGGCCUUUUAAGUCAGCGGUGAAAGUCUGUGGCUCAACCAUAGAAUUGCCGUUGAAACUGGGAGGCUUGAGUAUGUUUGAGGCAGGCGGAAUGCGUGGUGUAGCGGUGAAAUGCUUAGAUAUCACGCAGAACCCCGAUUGCGAAGGCAGCCUGCCAAGCCAUGACUGACGCUGAUGCACGAAAGCGUGGGGAUCAAACAGGAUUAGAUACCCUGGUAGUCCACGCAGUAAACGAUGAUCACUAGCUGUUUGCGAUACAGUGUAA
rnacentral:rRNA from 1 species